CCCAGUGAGUUUAAGCAUAUCAAUAAGAGGAGGAAAAGAAACUUACUAGGAUUCCCCUAGUAGUGGCGAGAGAACCGGAAAAAGCCCAGCUUGAGAAUCGGUCGCCAUCGGAGUCCGAAUUGUAGUCUGGAGAAGCGUCUUCAGUGACGGACCAGGUCUAAGUCCCCUGGAAAGGGGCGCCGGAGAGGGUGAGAGCCCCGUCGUGCCUGGACCCUAUCGCACCACAAGGCACUCUCUACAAGUCGGGUUAUUUGGGAAUACAGCCCUAAUCGGGCGGUAAAUUCCGUCCAAGGCUAAAUAUGGGCGAGAGACCGAUAGCGAACAUGUACCGCGAGGGAAAGAUGAAAAGGACUUUGAAAAGAGAGUCAAAGAGUGCUUGAAAUUGUCGGGAGGGAAGCGGAUGGGGGCUAAUGAUGGGCCUCGAUCGGAUAUGGAACAGCGAGAAUAGGGCCUCAAAGAGAGUCCAUUCAGAAGUCGUAAUGAGGACGUUACGAGAAUGGGUGGGGGAAAAUGUCACAGGCCACAGUUCAAAGCCUGUGACCAUCGCACCAAAUGCAUCCAAUAGAGGUCUAUUGCUCAGAUGGGGAUCAUUUGGCCCACGAGAACUAGCCCGAUUCAAGGAGCUAUUGGAGAAGCCUGUCAGAUUGAAGCCUUGUUGGCCUGAUAAUGAAGACAUGGCAACUUAGGCUAAUAUGGUAACUAAUCUUAGAAGAUAGAGGGAAUCAUAUCUUGUAAAGAUUAGAUUAGAUUUGAUAUGGCAUAUCUUGUAAAUCCCUAAAAUAAAAGGAUAUGGCUAAUCUCGUUCGUUGAUGUAAAUGUAUCUUGACCGUCAGUUUUGGGAGAGCUCAACUAUAAAUAAAGAGCCUCCCCUCAGUUGUACUCACUUCAUUCAUUGUUUCAUUAUUCUUUGUGAAUAAGAGAAUUGAGAGCAUUUACUCAAACACAUUGCGAGCGCUCUUUCUGUUGUUCUUUUGUUUAGCUUCUUUUAGGAUAAAUCUCUUCCGCUCUUUAAUUUGGUGCCUUGGAGGAGUUCUUAAGGAAUCCUCACUUGAAUUAAGGCUGACUUAGGGGAGUUUGGAUGAACGAAUCAUCUAAGGCCGCACGGAUCACAAGAGAAAACUCUAGCCCCGUGACACUAGUAGCUGGUUCCCUCCGAAGUCUUCCUCAGGAUAGCUGGAGCCCUUAGCGAGUUGUAUCGGGUAAAAUCAAUGAUUAGAGGCAUCGGGGGCGCAACGCCCUCGACCUAUUCUCAAACUUUAAAUAGGUAAGACGGUGCGGCUGCUUUGUUGAGCCGCGCUACGAAAUCGAGAGCUCCAAGUGGGCCAUUUUUGGUAAGCGAAACUGGCGAUGCGGGAUGAACCAGAAGCCGGGUUAGGGUGCCCAACUAUGCGCUAACCUAGAAUCCACAAAGUGUGUUGGUCGAUUAACACAGCAGGACGGUGGUCAUGGAAGUCGAAAUCGCUAAGGAGUGUGUAAAAGCUCAUCUGCAGAAUCAACUAGCCCAGAAAAUGGAUGGCGCUUAAACGCGUGACCUAUACCCAGCCAUUGGGGCAAGGGCCAGGCCCCGAUGAUUAGGAGGGCGUGACGAUCAGCGUAAAACCUGAGGUCCGAGCUCGGGCGAAGCGGCCGUCAGUGCAAAUAUUCAAUUGAGAACUUUGAAGGCCGAAAAGAGGAAAGGUUCCAUGUAAACGGCACUUGCACAUGGGUUAGUCGAUCCUAAGAGACGGGGGAAGCCCGUUCGAUAGUGCGUCUAGCACGAGCUUUGAAAGGGAAUCGGGUUAAAAUUCUAGAACUGGGACGCGACGGCUGACAACAACGUUAGGGAGUCCGUAGACGUCGGCGGGGGCCUCGGGAAGAGUUAUCUUUUCUGUUUAACGGCCUGCCCACCCUGGAAACGACUCAGCCGGAGGUAGGGCCCAGCGGACAGAAUAGCACCGAACGUCACGUGGUGUCAGGUGCGCCCCCAGCGGCCCUUGAAAAUCUGGAGGACUGAGUGCCGUCCGCUCUCAUUCUUACUCAUAACCGCAUCAGGUCUCCAAGGUGAACAACCUCUAGUC
rfam:Gossypium raimondii Chr08_contig_435, whole genome shotgun sequence.